rnacentral:rRNA from 1 species
CGCGGCCUAUCAGCUUGUUGGUGAGGUAGUGGCUCACCAAGGCGACGACGGGUAGCCGGCCUGAGAGGGCGACCGGCCACACUGGGACUGAGACACGGCCCAGACUCCUACGGGAGGCAGCAGUGGGGAAUAUUGCACAAUGGGCGCAAGCCUGAUGCAGCGACGCCGCGUGAGGGAUGACGGCCUUCGGGUUGUAAACCUCUUCCAGCAGGGAAGAAGCGUGAGUGACGGUACCUGCAGAAGAAGCACCGGCUAACUACGUGCCAGCAGCCGCGGUAAUACGUAGGGUGCGAGCGUUGUCCGGAAUUAUUGGGCGUAAAGAGCUUGUAGGCGGUUUGUCGCGUCUGCUGUGAAAAUCCGGGGCUCAACCCCGGACUUGCAGUGGGUACGGGCAGACUAGAGUGUGGUAGGGGAGGCUGGAAUUCCUGGUGUAGCGGUGGAAUGCGCAGAUAUCAGGAGGAACACCGAUGGCGAAGGCAGGUCUCUGGGCCACUACUGACGCUGAGAAGCGAAAGCAUGGGGAGCGAACAGGAUUAGAUACCCUGGUAGUCCAUGCCGUAAACGUUGGGCGCUAGGUGUGGGGCUCAUUCCACGAGUUCCGUGCCGCAGCUAACGCAUUAAGCGCCCCGCCUGGGGAGUACGG